rnacentral:rRNA from 1 species
GACGAACGCUGGCGGCGUGCUUAACACAUGCAAGUCGAACGGAAAGGCCCUGCUUUUGUGGGGUGCUCGAGUGGCGAACGGGUGAGUAACACGUGAGUAACCUGCCCUUGACUUUGGGAUAACUUCAGGAAACUGGGGCUAAUACCGGAUAGGAGCUCCUGCUGCAUGGUGGGGGUUGGAAAGUUUCGGCGGUUGGGGAUGGACUCGCGGCUUAUCAGCUUGUUGGUGGGGUAGUGGCUUACCAAGGCUUUGAACGGUAGCCGGCCUGAGAGGGUGAACGGCCACAUUGGGACUGAGAUAGGGCCCAGACGGCUACGGGAGGCAGCAGUGGGGAAUAUUGCACAAUGGGCGGGAGCCUGAUGCAGCAACGCCGCGUGCGGGAUGACGGCCUUCGGGUUGUAAACCGCUGUCGCCUGUGACGAAGCGUGAGUGACGGUAAUGGGUAAAGAAGCACCGGCUAACUACGUG